rnacentral:ncRNA from 3 species
UCUUGGUGGUAGUAGCAA